ensembl:snRNA LOC120097969 U1 spliceosomal RNA
AUACAUACAUGACAGAUGAGACUCCAUGAUGAUGAAGGUGGUUUUCCCAGGGUGAGGCUCAUCCCUUGCACUCCUGAUGUGUGAUCCCCAGGCUUUCCUCAAACAGAAGAAACUCAGCUGCCCCAAUUGUGGUGAGGACUAUGGCGGUUAUACUUUCUCCUA